rnacentral:misc_RNA from 1 species
UCGCGGCUUAUCACCGGCAGUCCCCUUAGAGUGCCCAACUGAAUGAUGGCAACUAAGGACAAGGGUUGCGCUCGUUGCGGGACUUAACCCAACAUCUCACGACACGAGCUGACGACAGCCAUGCAGCACCUGUCUCGCGAUUCCCGAAGGCACCAAGGCAUUUCUGCCGAGUUCCGCGGAUGUCAAGACCUGGUAAGGUUCUUCGCGUUGCUUCGAAUUAAACCACAUACUCCACUGCUUGUGCGGGUCCCCGCCAAUUCCUUUGAGUUCCAGCCUUGCGGCCGUACUCCCCAGGCGGAGUGCUUACUGUGUUAACUUCGGCACCAAGGGCAUGGAAGCCCCUAACACCUAGCACUCAUCGUUUACGGCGUGGACUAC